rnacentral:pre_miRNA from 1 species
AAUAAACCAAUUUUUCAUUUUUUAUCUUUAAGUUUUCACUCUUCGUCUUAUUAAAAAAAAUUUGUGAUUGAUACUUUUGUUUUUAUUAGAUGAUAAAUCAUGAAUAGUAUUUUACGUGUGACUAAUUUUUUUCUAAUUUCCUGAAAAUUUUUCAAAUAAGACAGAUGGUCACACGUUGGACUCGGAAACCAGAGAAUUCGUUUUUU